CCUACGGGUGGCAGCAGUGAGGAAUAUUGGUCAAUGGCCGGAAGGCUGAACCAGCCAAGCCGCGUGAGGGAGGAAGGCGCAGAGCGUCGCAGACCUCUUUUGCCGGGGGCCAACCUUCCUUCCUCGUCCGGUCCUGCGGGUCCCCGGCGCCCCCGCCUCGGCUACCUCCGUGCCCGCCGCCGCGGUCCUCCUUAGGAUGCGCUCGUUCUCCGUAUUCCUUUUUUUUACAGUUUUCGCCGUCGGGCCUUUACGCCGGCGUUGACCUCGCGGGGCUCAACCCCGCCGAGCCGUCGGAACUGGGGGCCUUGAGUGCGGCGGAGGCAUGCGGAAUGCGCGGUGUAGCGGUGAAAUGCAUAGAUAUCGCGCAGAACCCCGAGGGCGAAGGCAGCGUGCCGUGCCGCCACUGACGCGGAGGCACGAAAGCGCGGGGAUCGAACAGGAUGAGAUACCCGAGUAGUC
rnacentral:rRNA from 1 species